rnacentral:rRNA from 1 species
GCAAGCGAGUACACAGUGAAACUGCGAAUGGCUCAUUAAAUCAGUUGUGGUUUAUUGGAUCGUACGACCCCAAGUGGAUACCUGUGGCAAACCUAGAGCUAAUACCUGCAGUGAAUGCCUCGAUCUCCGGGGGAGRCUCCGGGAGAGGGGCGCAGUUAUUAUACCAAGACCAACCGUGGGUGCCUCCUUUGGAGCCCCGCCCCCGCUCUGUGGUGACUCUGGGUAACCUCGGGCUGAUCGCAUGGCCAGCGUGCCGGCGACGUAUCUUUCAAAUGUCUGCCCCAUCAAAUGUCGAAGGGAGGUGCCUUGCCUCCCUUGUUCGCAACGGGUGACGGGGAAUCAGGGUUCGAUUCCGGAGAGGGAGCAUGAGAAUCGGCUACCACGUCCAAGGAAGGCAGCAGGCGCGCAAAUUACCCACUCCUGACACGGGGAGGUAGUGACGAAAAAUCACGGGGCGGGAUUCCAUCUAACCCCCCCGCAAUGAGUACACCUUAAAUCCUUGUACGAGGAUCCAUUGGAGGGCAAGUCUGGUGCCAGCAGCCGCGGAACUCCAGCUCCAUAUUAAAGUUGUUGCAGUUAAAAAGCUCGUAGUUGGAUCUCAGUGCGGGCGGGUGGUGGUGACAUCGUGGCACCCUAUGGCCUCACGGCCGCCGCGGUGGUAGGCCGCCGCCGCCGCAUCACCGGCGGGGGGAGCACCCAUGCGAAGGUAUGGGGCAUGCUCCUGCCCCCCCAGGAGUGGGGGCAGUUGGUGGUUGUCGGUUGAUGGCCAUCGGCACCCAGCCGAGUUUACCUUGAAGAAAUUAGAGUGUUCAAGGCCGGGUUUGAAGGAGCCCGAAUAAUAGUGCGUGGAAUAAUGGAAGAGGACCCCGGUCCCGAUUCCGUUGGUUUUCUCCGGGACUGGAGGUAAUGAUUAAGAGGGGCAGGCGGGGGCACUCGUACUGCGGCGUGAGAGGUGAAAUUCUGGGACCGCCGCAUGACGGACUAGUGCGAAAGCAUCUGCCAAGGAUGUUUUCAUUAAUCAAGAGCGAAAGUCAGAGUUUCGAAGACGAUCAGAUACCGUCCUAGUUCUGACCAUAAACGGUGCCGACUGGCGAUCCGCCGGUGGUGCGUAAUGUUGAAAUUGUUUAAGCCCCGGCGGGCAGCCCCAGGGAAACCGAGCAAGUCUUUGGGUUCCGGGGGAAGUAUGGUUGCAAAGCUGAAACUUAAAGGAGUUGACGGAAGGGCACCACCAGGAGUGGAGCCUGCGGCUUAAUUCGACUCAACACGGGGGAAGCUUACCCGGCCCGGACACCGUAAGGAUUGACAGAUUAAGCGAGCUUUCAUCAUUCGGUGGGUGGUGGUGCAUGGCCGUUCUUAGUUGGUGGAGCGAUCCGUCAGGUUGAUUCCGAUAACGGACGAGACCCCGGCCCCUGAUUAGUCCGCCCCGAGGUGAAUCGGAGGGGUGUCCAAUGAGAGAACUUAUAAGGGGGAGAAGCGGCGUGGGUGAGCCGCGCGAACCGUGGGCAAUAACAGGUCUGUGAUGCCCUUAGAUGUCCGGGGCCGCACGCGUGCUACACUGAAGGAGGCAGAUGGUCGAGUCCUGGCCCGUCAGGGUGGGGCAAGCCGUGGAGAAACUCUUUCGUGCCUGGGACUGGGGUUUGGAAAUGACCCCCUGAACGAGGAAUUCCCAGUAAGCGCGAGUCACCAUCUCGUGUUGAUCAAGUCCCUGCUCUUUGUACACACCGCCCGUCGCUACUACCGAUCGUUUGGUUUGGUGAGGCCUUCGGACGGGAGUGGCGCCGAGAGGCGCUGCCCGGAAGGAGGACGAACUUGAUCAUGUAGAGGAAGUAAAAGUCGUAACAAGGUUUCCGUAGGU